GAUGAACGCUAGCUACAGGCUUAACACAUGCAAGUCGAGGGGCAUCAUUAUCGAAGCUUGCUUUGAUAGAUGGCGACCGGCGCACGGGUGAGUAACGCGUAUCCAACCUUCCCCUUAGUAGGGCACAGCCCGGCGAAAGUCGGAUUAAUUCCCUAUGUUGUUUGAUGCUGACAUCAAGAUCAAACCAAAGAUUCAUCGCUAAGGGAUGGGGAUGCGUCUGAUUAGAUAGUAGGCGGGGUAACGGCCCACCUAGUCAACGAUCAGUAGGGGUUCUGAGAGGAAGGUCCCCCACAUUGGAACUGAGACACGGUCCAAACUCCUACGGGAGGCAGCAGUGAGGAAUAUUGGUCAAUGGGCGAGAGCCUGAACCAGCCAAGUAGCGUGCAGGACGACGGCCCUAUGGGUUGUAAACUGCUUUUAUACGGGGAUAAAGUGGGCCAUGCAUGGCCUUUUGCAUGUACCGUAUGAAUAAGGACCGGCUAAUUCCGUGCCAGCAGCCGCGGUAAUACGGAAGGUCCGGGCGUUAUCCGGAUUUAUUGGGUUUAAAGGGAGCGCAGGCGGACAGUUAAGCGUGACGUGAAAUGCAGCGGCUCAACCGUAUGAAGUGCGUCGCGAACUGGCAGUCUUGAGUGAGUACGAUGUAGGCGGAAUUUGUGGUGUAGCGGUGAAAUGCUUAGAUAUCACGAAGAACUCCGAUUGCGAAGGCAGCCUACAAGUCCUUUACUGACGCUAAAGCUCGAAGGUGCGGGUAUCGAACAGGAUUAGAUACCCUGGUAGUCCGCACGGUAAACGAUGGAUGCCCGCUGUUUGCGAUAUAGUGUGAGCGGCCAAGCGAAAGCGUUAAGCAUCCCACCUGGGGAGUACGCCGGCAACGGUGAAACUCAAAGGAAUUGACGGGGGCCCGCACAAGCGGAGGAACAUGUGGUUUAAUUCGAUGAUACGCGAGGAACCUUACCCGGGCUUGAACUGCAGCAGAACGAUUGAGAGAUCAUGAGGUCCUUCGGGACUGCUGUGGAGGUGCUGCAUGGUUGUCGUCAGCUCGUGCCGUGAGGUGUCGGCUUAAGUGCCAUAACGAGCGCAACCCCUCUCUUCAGUUGCCAUCAGGUAGAGCUGGGCACUCUGGAGACACUGCCACCGUAAGGUGUGAGGAAGGUGGGGAUGACGUCAAAUCAGCACGGCCCUUACGUCCGGGGCUACACACGUGUUACAAUGGGUGGUACAGAGCGUCGGCGGCCUGCAAAGUCCGUCCAAUCGCAAAAUCCAUCCUCAGUUCGGACUGGGGUCUGCAACCCGACCCCACGAAGCUGGAUUCGCUAGUAAUCGCGCAUCAGCCAUGGCGCGGUGAAUACGUUCCCGGGCCUUGUACACACCGCCCGUCAAGCCAUGAAAGCCGGGGGCGCCUGAAGUCCGUGACCGCGAGGGUCGGCCUAGGGUGAAACCGGUGAUUGGGGCU
rnacentral:rRNA from 1 species